rnacentral:rRNA from 1 species
UACGGAGGGGGCGAGCGUUGUUCGGAUUUACUGGGCGUAAAGCGUGCGUAGGUGGUUUCCCAAGUUAGAAGUGAAAGCCCAGGGCUUAACCCUGGAAUUGCUUUUAAAACUGGGUCACUAGAAUUUAGGAGAGGUAGAUGGAAUUCCGAGUGUAGAGGUGAAAUUCGUAGAUAUUCGGAGGAACACCAAUGGCGAAAGCAGUCUACUGGACUAACAUUGACACUGAGGCACGAAAGCGUGGGGAGCAAACAGG